AAGGGACUGAGGGGCUGCCGGUGAGUUUCUCCAGGCUACCCUCCCCAAGAGCCUUUGGCCAAGGGUGCGGCGAACGGCGUAGCCCGGGGCUUGAGCCCUGGGGCUUCGCACGGAUUUGAGAAAAUGGCACUGAAUCCCAAAUGAAAGAGGAUAAAGGAGUUCAUAAAAGAACUAAGAUUACUCAAUGACUCCAUUUCAGCAGUCAUUGAUCUGGUUGAUUUUGUCCUGGAAAUCCCCCUGCUUUGUCAUGUGCUGGGCUGCUGUUUGCAAGGUAACACCUAGAGAGCUGAUUACAUCCAUACACUGGGGAAAUGGGGAACAUGUAUCUGGGAUGGGUGAAUGAUUUUUCACUUCUGUGAGAGAGAUCAAAUUAUCAGCAGGGCUGCUAAUCUGCCUAUCUGCAAAAAUAGCCAGAAAUAUGCACAAAUGUAAACAUAAAAGGAGACGCUCAUAAUUUGCAUAGCUCUCAUGUUUGUCCAUCAGUCACCCUAAAUGCCUGUAAGCUGUCAGGCUGGACACAAAUGUGCUGUAGCUUGAGGAAUUGUCAUUUCAUCUUCCAAUGAGAUACUUUAUUAUCACCGUUAAUUGAUUAAACAUUUUCAACACUCACUGAGUAAACCAGUCACGCCAUCUAUUUCUACCUUGGGCUUCUGUUUAUGGUCUGAGUGUGCCAAACAUCCAGACUAAAUGAAAAUAUACCCUCCAGGAACCACGCGUGGCAUCUCUCAUAACAAGCUGCAGCACCUCUCUGAAGCACGGCUGCUAUGUCAUGGGGAAUCCCGGGAAUCUUUAGCUUAACUCCCUGUGCCUUGGAGCCUCUAGGAGGACUGGAAAGUGAGCGGUGUUGGAGGAUUCAUGUGUGCAGAUGGCUGGCAUACUUACAUCUCUCAUUUUGAGGGAAAAGGAGCAGUGUCAAGGAACAGAUUAGGUAUCCCUGGGAUAGCUGGGAUUUGUGACAAUCCCAGUUGACAAUGUGAGUCUCAGCCAGAUCUCUGAGACUGCCCGUGUUGACCUUCUAUGGUUUUCUGGAUCAUGGGAGGGUGCUGAUUGUUGCUUGUGCCUUAUUCAUUUAAAAUUCUCUGUCUGGAGUUCCCGCUGCGGCUCAGCUUGUUAAGAACCCAACACAGUGUCCAUGAGGGUGUGUGUUCGAUCCCUGGUCUCGCUCAGGGGGUUAAGGAUCUGGCAUUGCUGCAAGCUGUGGUGUAGGCUGGCACCUGCAGCUCUGAUUUGAUCCCUUGCCAGGGAACUUCUAUAUGCCACAGGUGUGGCUCUAGAAAAUAAAAAAAAUUCUCUAUCAAAUUCAAAUAAAAAGGAAUUGAUCCUAUUUGCCUUUCCAUUUUAAAGAUGGUAUUAAAGCCUGGGAAGGAUAGUGGGGGUGGAGUGGGAGAGAGGAGAAGAACUUGGCUAAAUGGAAAGUGUUGAGAUGAUUCAAAUGGCUCAUGCUGACAGAGCAGGGGUGCCUUGACCUUCUGUGGGGGCCACGUAGGCAGCCUCCUACUGGUGGUUAUUUUGGGUGCUGGAAAGCCUGCCUGCCCUGAAAUAUCUCUCCGUGCCAUCUUGCCAGAUUCUGUAAUUCCCACGACAAGAGCCAUCCUCCACUUAAAGGCAUUGUGUCUCCAGAAGGCCUGGGUCAGAGUGCAGCCAUCCAUAGGCAAUGACACAUAUUUAACCCAUAAUCGCCCAUAAGCCCGGAACCUGGCUGCAUAGAACAGCUACCAGCUGUUGGUAACCCAACACUGCCUUGCUAAGAGAAGCUUUUUGACAGCCUCUUCACAUAAGUGGGGGAAAUGGGUGGCUGCAAAGCUCUGGAUCAGGAGCGUGAUGGCUUCCAUGGGAGCAGCCAAAUUGCUGCAGUGAUGGCGUCUCUCUCCAUCCUCCUGGGGUACAGGAAAGUUAGAUGUUGGCUAGUAUGAGAAAUUUGGAAAUGCAAAUAGCAUCAGGGGAGCGUAUAUAAGUUCAUGGAUGAUGGAUCCAACGUGGAAUCAGCGAAUGCUUGGGGCACACCCUUAACUGGUUUAUCUCUGAGGGAGCAAGACAACUGUCUACCAGGCUUGAUUUGAUUGACAACCCUCCCCCCCCAAUAUUCUGUUAUUGGUCAGUAAAUGUGUCUGAUGGUUUCACUGUAAUUAUUUAUUUCUUUGGGCAUAGAAGUCACUGUUAAAAGUUAAACAUGUUCUCAGGGAGGGAAAACCAAGUAUUUUUCAGAAUUAAAUAAUCUCAUAGGGUAGCCUGAGGGAAAGCUUGGAAGCAUGGUAUGCUGCAGCUGUGUGUGAGGAAAACAUUCUUCACAAAAUGCUGGAACCCAACAGCCUGCUCUGGGGAGUGAGCCAGUUUCCCACUAAGUGUGGUUAGAGAAUCAUAUGCUCUCUUCAUAAAAUUAAAUUCUUAGGAUGGUAUUUAGGGCUCCUUUUUUCUUCUGUCCUUGCUUUUCUUGUUUCUUGGUCUUGGUUUCUCUCUCUGAAUUCCCUCCAGGGUGUCGAAAGCUGCACCCACACAUCCCCCUCCUUUUUACUCACUUUCUUUUGGGCAGUCAUUGCAUGUUUCAGGACGUGGUUGGGCAGAAGGGCACCACUGAAAGUGCAGGCAGCCCUCUCUUCCUUAGAACAUGCUUCUGGGAGCUGGCUGUAUAACUGUGCCUCAUAAGCAGUCUACCUAAGCUUACCUUAGCCUACCUAAGAGUGUGGCAAUUUAAGAGCAGACUCCCUGAAGCUAUUUUGCUGGUGAAUCUUCCCUAAAAGCAAGAAUUAUAGGCCACCAACAGAAGGUAGAGCUCAGGCUUCCCCAGUGGACAGGUGAGAGCUGGCAAAAGAGCAAAGAAACAGGAGAAUAUGGACUCUGAAGUCAGGGAGUAUUAGGAAGUACCAAUGAGAGAGCAAGUAGAAUUGGAUGUGAAAAGAAGUCGGAUAGACUGGGGCUUAAUAUUCAGUAGCUGAGCCUCCUUGAAGUUAAUGUCUUUGAGCCUUAAUUUUCUUUAUGGGGUAAUAUUAAUACCUACUUCAUAAGUUCUAAUUAGAAGCACAUGGUUGAUCAGCACUGUGAUUCUGGCUCAUAAGAGGUAUUUAAACUAUUCAUUAUUAUGAUUACUAUUAAGAGCAUUUCAGCAGAGUGGUGGUUUGAGUUUGAAUAAGAUUUUAGGAAGUGAAGUUCAGUUGGGAAUGGAGACAGAGUUGUAUAGCGUUAACUUCUGGCUUAGGUGAGGUUGAAGGAAGGAUUUUUUAGGAUGAGGAAACUUGAGCAUGGGUGUAGAUUCAAAGAGAAGCUAGAGGCAUGAUAUUCAAGAAAAAAGGAAUAAUUUAUAAAUCAAGUGGCUAAAUAACUUAAUAGGAAGUAGAUGUGAUCUUAAGAGCAGGGAUUAUCAUCAGAAAGGAGCAGGGACACCUUUUACUC
rnacentral:lncRNA from 1 species